rnacentral:rRNA from 1 species
CAGCUCUUCGAGUGGUGUCCAUGAUUAUUGGGCCUAAAGCAUCCGUAGCCGGCGCUGUAAGUUUUCGGUUAAAUCUGUACGCUCAACGUACAGGCUGCCGGGAAUACUGCAGCGCUAGGGAGUGGGAGAGGUAGACGGUACUCGGUAGGAAGGGGUAAAAUCCUUUGAUCUAUUGAUGACCACCUGUGGCGAAGGCGGUCUACCAGAACACGUCCGACGGUGAGGGAUGAAAGCUGGGGGAGCAAACCGGAUUAGAUACCCGCGUAGUCC